rnacentral:rRNA from 1 species
UACAGAGGUCUCAAGCGUUGUUCGGAUUCAUUGGGCGUAAAGGGUGUGUAGGUGGCGCGCUAAGUCGGGUGUGAAAUUUCGGAGCUUAACUCCGAAACUGCAUUCGAUACUGGCGUGCUUGAGGACUGGAGAGGAGACUGGAAUUCCUGGUGUAGCGGUGGAAUGCGCAGAUAUCAGGAGGAACACCAAUAGCGAAGGCAGCUCGCUGGGACGGUACUGACGCUAAGGCGCGAAAGCGUGGGGAGCGAACAGG